CGUAAAAACGGAUAAAUGACUGCCUCUUUCAAGGAAUUUUUAGCGUCAUCUAAUCCGGCAAUGUCCGACCAGUAGACAGGUUCAUGGUUAGAAAUAAUUUCAUUCAUAAUAGCAUAUUCAAAAUCACUUGAAGGAGUGGUCUGUUGAAGAGGUUCAGUUUGUUGAGUAGUACUAGCUGAGAUAGUUUUUGACACAAUUGUCUUAGAAUCAGCGGUUGCCGGAGGAGAUGUAGCAGGUGAUCCGGCUGUGUCAGCGGAAGACGGUCGAGUGGAAGAACCAAGGGUAUCAUGAGAAGAGUUUAAGUAUGGUUUAUAUGGGCUAGGAUGCUUGCGCGAUUUUCCAUCGCUGGAUGAAUGCGAUGCAGACGUAAGGGGGACGGCAGGAACAUGGAGUGGAGGAAUUGGCGCAUGGAAGGAGAGGGGAGUGCUAUUGUUAGCAUUUUGAUUGUUUGACACCUGAAUAGAAGGGCUAGAUACCGAAUUGGAAAGCGUCGGUUUAGUCGUAGACUGACUUUUCAUAGCGGUAGGAAAAGUGGUGGAAUUCAUGGUAGCAGAACGACCUGUAUCAGAAGAAAGAGCAGAAGCAGAAGCGGCAGCACUCUUAGAAGCAGCAGCAAUGGCCGAAGCAGAAGAAUUGAAAGAGGCAAAGGGAUCUUCGGGUUUGAGGGGUGGAGAACGGUUUGGCUUAGAGGGUGCCAGAUAAGAAGGUGCAUCUCCAUAGGAAGAAGAAACAAUGGAUGAAGUGGAGGUAGAAGGAGGCGAAUGCUUGGAAUAUAUUUGCUUAGGCGUAGAUAAAUUUACCUCCGACUGCGCACCUCUCGUCUGUCUGUACAUCAUCCUAGUAGUCAUGGGGGUAUACGCAGGUGUUUGAGAUCUUACUGGACGUAAGGGGUGAAGAUCAACGGGCGCCUUCUUUGAAAGUUUGGCUGCAAGUUGAUAAUUUUGCCUUUCCAUUUCACUUUCCAAAAUCGUCUUACGCAGCUUGCUUGCCUUGCUCAAACAGUUGUCAUAGAGCCCGUUCCAAGAACAUGCCUCUGCGCCCGUCAAAGGUCCCAAUCCCAUGCGAUCGCGAGCUGCCGACGACUUCUUCAUCUCCUCUAAAACCUUGCAGUAACUCACAUACGCACCAGCCCAAUCCCUAUUUCCUUCACACAAUAAUGCUCUUGAUGCUAUCGGUAGUAUUCUAUCCAAGUCUGAGUCCAUUUUCCGCAGUCGACUCGUCAAUGGCUUUUUUGCUUUUGGCAAGUUCAAAUGUCAAAAGUGCUGUCUUGUCGUUAAAAAUCCCAUAGAAUGUUCGAAGU